rnacentral:rRNA from 1 species
AAGCAGCCAUUCAUUUAAAGAGUGCGUAACAGCUCACUAGUCGAGGAGUUUGGCGUGGAUAAUAAUCGGGCAUUAAGUGUUUUACCGAAGCUAUGGGAUCAGUAAUGAUCGGUAGGGGAGCAUUCCACUCUGCGUCGAAGGUGAAGCGUGAGCUUUGCUGGAGCGUGUGGAAAAGCAAAUGUAGGUAUAAGUAACGAUAAAGGGGGUGAGAAACCCCCUCGCCGAAAGACUAAGGUUUCCUGAUCAACGCUAAUCGGAUCAGGGUUAGUCGGGUCCUAAGGCUCAGCCGAACGGUGAGGCCGAUGGCAGAACAGGUUAAUAUUCCUGUACUACCUUAAGGAGUGACGUGGAGACGGAGCAGUGACAGCGCCGCGGACUGACGGAAUAGUCCGUUGAAGGGUGUAGAUGUUGAUCAUCCCAGGCAAAUCCGGGAUGAGAGUCGAACCUGAUAGUAUGGAGCGUUCUUCGGAACAAUCCAAUAGUGCGUGUAAGCAUACUCCCAAGAAAAUCCGCUAAACUUAAUCCUUAAGGUACCCGUACCGCAAACGGACACACGUAGUCGGGUUGAAUAUACUAAGGCGCU